GCACUGGUGGCUCAGGGGUUAGCGCGUGGGAUUGCAAAUCCCGAGGUCGCGCGUUCAAAUCGCGCUCAGUGCU